rnacentral:rRNA from 1 species
UGACAGGUGGUGCAUGGUUGUCGUCAGCUCGUGUCGUGAGAUGUUGGUUAAGUCCCGCAACGAGCGCAACCCCUAUUGUUAGUUGCCAUCAUUCAGUUGGGCACUCUAGCGAGACUGCCGGUAAUAAACCGGAGGAAGGUGGGGAUGACGUCAAAUCAUCAUGCCCCUUAUGACCUGGGCUACACACGUGCUACAAUGGUUGGUACAACGAGUUGCGAGUCGGUGACGGCGAGCUAAUCUCUUAAAGCCAAUCUCAGUUCGGAUUGUAGGCUGCAACUCGCCUACAUGAGGUCGGAAUCGCUAGUAAUCGCGGAUCAGCACGCCGCGGUGAAUACGUUCCCGGGCCUU